AAUGUGGUUCUCUCCAGACCUGUUUUCCUGAGUGAUUGCGGGAUAGCUACUGGUCUACUUGAUGGUGGCGGACUGGGUGAUUGUAGAAUAGUCCCUGGUCUAGUUGAUGGUGGUGGACUGGGUGAUUGUAGAAUAGCUACUGGUCUACUUGAUGGUGGCGGACUGGGUGAUUGUAGAAUAGUCCCUGGUCUAGUUGAUGGUGGUGGACUGGGUGAUUGUAGAAUAGUCCCUGGUCUAGUUGAUGGUGGUGGACUGGGUGAUUGUAGAAUAGUCCCUGGUCUGGUUGAUGGUGGUGGACUGGGUGAUUGUAGGUUAGUCCCUGGUCUGGUUGAUGGUGGUGGACUGGGUGAUUGUAGAAUAGUCCCUGGUCUAGUUGAUGGUAGUGGACUGGGUGAUUGUAGAAUAGUCCCUGGUCUACUUGAUGGUGGUGGACUGGGUGAUUGUAGAAUAGUCCCUGGUCUAGUUGAUGGUAGUGGACUGGGUGAUUGUAGGAUAGUCCCUGGUCUACUUGAUGGUGGUGGACUGGGUGAUUGUAGAAUAGCUACUGGUCUAUAUGAUGGUGGCGGACUGGGUGAUUGUAGAAUAGCUACUGGUCUAGUUGAUGGUGGCGGACUGGGUGAUUGUAGAAUAGCUACUGGUCUAGUUGAUGGUGGCGGACUGGGUGAUUGUAGAAUAGCUACUGGUCUACUUGAUGGUAGUGGACUGGGUGAUUGUAGGAUAGUCCCUGGUCUACUUGAUGGUGGUGGACUGGGUGAUUGUAGGAUAGUCCCUGGUCUAGUUGAUGGUAGUGGACUGGGUGAUUGUAGGAUAGUCCCUGGUCUACUUGAUUGUGGUGGACUGGGUGAUUGUAGGAUAGUCCCUGGUCUACUUGAUGGUAGUGGACUGGGUGAUUGUAGAAUAGCUACUGGUCUAUUUGAUGGUGGUGGACUGGGUGAUUGUAGAAUAGUCCCUGGUCUACUUGAUGGUAGUGGACUGGGUGAUUGUAGGAUAGUCCCUGGUCUACUUGAUGGUGGUGGACUGGGUGAUUGUAGGAUACAUGUCAUAUUUCAGUGAGUAGUCAGACCAAUAGAGGCAUUAUAAUGAAUUGUGAACUGAGGGACCAGCAAUAUGGAGUGUAGGCCAACAGACAGACAAACACCGGUAGAUGUUCCAUCUAUGUGCAGACAGAUGGCUUUGUCUGGACCACGUAGUGUCUUUCUGUGAAGAGGGACUUAGCUAUUUGCACUUGGGCCAAACAAAACAGCAGUUCUGACGUAAUGACUUUAGUUUUUUUCUCUCUCCGAUUUUGCUUUAAUUUAUCUUCUGUCCUAAUCAAUGUUAUAAAAUCUCAGCAAUAAUCAUGUUAAUUUUGUGAGAUCUGGUGUCCGUGUCUACUCAUACAGAGUUAUCCAUUAUAUUGACCAGAUGGUUGAGAAAGAGUGGCAUCUCUAUGCCCCUAUUCAAUCAAAUAAGCCAUACAUUUGUUUUUGUUAACCAAAUUUGACAUUCAUUAACCUCUGUACAAAGUCUCCUGGCUUAAUGAGCGAAAUGUUUCAUACAAAACACCACCUGCUGGAGAAGACAGAUUUUGGGCCUAGUUAUCCCUCUCUCUCUUCUCCUCUGGGGUUGUAGAGGUGGUUGUGCAUCGCAGUACCUUCAGCUGCAGACUGCGGUACUUUCAGCUGCAGACUGCGGUACCUUCAGCUGCACACUGCGGUACCUUCAGCUGCACACUGCGGUACCUUCAGCUGCACACUGCGGUACCUUCAGCUGCACACUGCGGUACCUUCAGCUGCAGACUGUAAGUCUGUUCUAAAGGGAUGUCCUCCAUACUGGUUCUUAGUGAAAAGUGGAUCUCAUGAAGCCUCUUGAAUCUAGUCGAGGGAUGUGAAUUCCUACCCUUCUGGAUCUAGUCAAAAGACGUGUGUGUGUGUGUGUGUGUGUGUGUGUGUGUGUGUGUGUGUGUGUGUGUGUGUGUGUGUGAGAGUUGUUGAGGGGCAUCAUGGGUUAGCAGUAGACUUCAUGCUUCGGGGAUUGUCAUGUGAUCAUUCCAUAAGGAGUCUGACAUUUUUCCAUCUGUUGAUAGUGAAAAAGUUAAAUCUGUUGCAAAACUGUGUUUUUAUGAUUUAUUUAAAUAAAUACAAAUGAAUUGGUGCAAUGUGUCCCGACUCUGACUGUUUGGUCACCUGUCCUGGCCAGAUCAAACCCAACCCUGAGCUAUCCCCCAACUGGCCACGCAGGGCUCUCCAGAGGGUGGUGCGGUCUACCCAACGCAUCACCGGGGGCACACUGCCUGCCCUCCAGGACACCUACAACACCCGAAGGCCAAAAAUAUCAAGGACAUCAACCAUCCGAGCCACUGCCUGUUCACCCCGCUACCAUCCAGAAAGCGAGGUCAGUACAGGUGCAUCAAAGCUGGGACCGAGAGACUGAAAAACAGCUUCUUAUCUCAAGGCCAUCAGACUGUUAAACAGCCAUUACUAACACAGAGAGGCUAAAUAGCCAUCCACUAGCAGGCAACUACCCGGUGACUCAACCAUACACCUUACAUGCUGACCGCACCGCUCCUCCGCCAUAGCGCGCAUAUUGAUUUAGUCCACCCACACCAGACACGACCAGAAGGGACAUGUUGAUUUAGUCCACCCACACCAGGCGUGACCAGGACAGGCAUGUUGAUUUACUCCACCCACACCAGACGCGACCAGGACAGACAUGUUGAUUUAGUCCACCCACACCAGACACGACCAGAACAGACAUGUUGAUUUAGUCCACCCACACCAGGCGUGACCAGGACAGGCAUGUUGAUUUACUCCACCCACACCAGACGCGACCAGGACAGACAUGUUGAUUUAGUCCACCCACACCAGACGCGACCAGAACAGACAUGUUGAUUUAGUCCACCCACACCAGGCGUGACCAGGACAGACAUGUUGAUUUAGUCCACCCACACCAGACGCGACCAGGACAGACAUGUUGAUUUAGUCCACCCACACCAGACGUGACCAGGACAGACAUGUUGAUUUAGUCCACCCACACCAGACGUGACCAGGACAGACAUGUUGAAGUAUAUACUGAAGUAUAUUUUAAACCAAAUGCUUUUAGACUGUUACUCAAGUAGUAUUUUACUGGGUGACUUUUACUUGAGUCAUUUUCUAUUAUGGUAUCUUUACUCAAGUAUGACUGUUGGGUACUUUUUCCACCACUGCCAUUAAGCCUUCAGUAUGUACAGUCAUGGCCAAAAGUUUUGAGAAUGACACAAAUAUUAAUUUCCACAAAGUUUGCUGCUUCAGUGUCUUUAGAUAUUUUUGUCAGAUGUUACUAUGGAAUACUGAAGUAUAAUUACAAGCAUUUCAUAAGUGUCAAAGGCUUUUAUUGACAAUUACAUGAAGUUGAUGCAAAGAGUCAAUAUUUGCAGUGUUGACCUUUCUUUUUCAAGACCUCUGCAAUCUGCCCUGGCAUGCUGUCAAUUAACUUCUGGGCCACAUCCUGACUGAUGGCAGCCCAUUCUUGCAUAAUCAAUGCUUGGAGUUUAUCAGAAUUUGUGGGUUUUUGUUUGUCCACCCGCAUCUUGAGGAUUGACCACAAGUUCUCAAUGGGAUUAAGGUCUGGGGAGUUUCCUGGCCAUGGACCCAAAAUAUUGAUGUUUUGUUCCCCGAGCCACUUAGUUAUCACUUUUGCCUUAUGGCAAGGUGCUCCAUCAUGCUGUGAAAGGCAUUGUUCGUCAC
rnacentral:lncRNA from 8 species